rnacentral:rRNA from 1 species
GACGAACCGUGCGAACGUUAUUCGGAAUCACUGGGCUUAAAGCGCGUGUAGGCGGGACGGCACGUCGGUCGCUGAAAGCCCCCCGGCUCAACCGGGGGAACGGGCGCCGAUACGACCGCCCUGGAGGGACGUAGGGGGACCUGGAACUUCCGGUGGAGCGGUGAAAUGCGUUGAGAUCGGAAGGAACGCCCGUGGCGAAAGCGAGGUCCUGGACGUUUUCUGACGCUGAGACGCGAAAGCCAGGGGAGCGAACGGG